UAUGACACGCACCACACACCCAAAACUCUCAAGUAUCUCACAAGCAACGGUCAGCCCAGCUACAAAGUUCCAUGUCAUGUUGUCUUCCACCCUUUCCUUGGACAAGAGAUCUGCUCCAAAUGGUGUGAGUGAAUGCAUCUGUGUCUGAAGGUACUCAAGAACCCUGGAGAACCACACCCCAAAAGCCAGCUAUUAGGGUGGGAGAGCCAAGCCACUUAAGUGCCACAUUGGUGGUCCCAUUCUCACCAAUGUGAGACAAAUGCAUCUCAUACUACAGGUAUGUCUUGAAUAUAUUCUCAAGUGUUUAAUUAAAAAAAAAUAAUUCAUUUUGGAAAAAAAAUAGAGUGUUUAGUAACCAAUCAAAAUAACUUUUGAAGUGUAAUUUAAACAAGUUUAAUCAAAAGAGUUUAAAUAAAAUUGAGUUUUUUGAUAAACAUUUUUCUCUCAAAUGAAUCCAAACAGGCCCUACCUUGGUUGCUAACAUAAUGCAACAGGCAAACCAGACCAAGUCGUAGGAAUAAACAAAAUCUUAAGGGAGUAUCGUGAAAUAAUAUAGCAACUUCAAAAAUAAUAAGAAUAAAUUGAAGAGCACAAGGUAAUUUUAGCAACAAUAGCAAGAGAAAGAUCAAGUGCCUUAGUCAAAUAAACAGCAUCCUGUAGUUGUUGAAGAGUAUCUCUCAUAUAAUCCCCUUGUAACAGUAUGUCUUCUAAAAUCUCAUAUGCAAUCUGCAAAAUUGUGCCAUCAAAAUAUAUAGCAUAUAAACAGAUAUAGAAGUGACCAAGCAUCCAAAAGAAAUAACACUAUCACCUCAUUUUUCUUCAUGUGAACAGAUAACAUCUUACUUAAACUUUGGAUGCUAGAAAGAGAACCGCGAAUCUGCAAUAGAGUAAAAUGUGAGGGAAAAUUAACAUGCUACUAGGGUGCGUGAGAACAAAAUAAAGAACCAAGUCAAGUAGUAUCCUUACCUGGUCAACCAGAUUGCUCAUCCUCAAAUUAUUCUGCCAUGAUGAUUGCUGGAGCAACAUUGCUUUCUACAGAAUAAAAAAUGUUUCAUCUUAAAUUACGUGACAAACUACAAGUGGAACCUAAGAAGAACAACUUUUAAAAUCAGGAUUUAUCGUCAGAUUACAAGAGUAAAUAAAGUUUGCCAUCGAUGGCAACUGAAUAAAAAAGAUCCAACCAACCUGAUCCAUAACAUAUGCCAUAGCAAGAGAACGGGAAAUAUGGAAGGCAUUUUCUUGACGAUCUGCAUUAAACAUGUACGUUCUCAAUGAUCCAUUCGUAGCAUCAUGAAAUCCAUGUGCACUUAUUCCUGAGCCAGCUACAAGAGCACCGGCUUCGUGUGGAGAUGAGUAUGACCACGGAUCACGAUCAGCACUCUGCAUAUCCAGACAUGUUUCCAUUUCCAGGUUCGGAAGCUCGGCAACUAAGAACCCCACGACAAAUGGGUGUUUCACCAUUGGAAAAACAAUAGCCUUGUGCUCUGAGAUAACUUCAACCUACACUUUAAACAGUCUUUUCAAUGUUCAACGAUUAACCAUCUAAACCAAAAACAUAUCAGUCAGUUACACUAAAAACCAUACUUGCUGACUGGAAAAAGUAGCUUCGGCAGCACGUAAACCAGUAGGAACACUAAAAUUUCCGACCAAUAUCACAACAUCGGUAACAUUAACCCCUGGGAAAGAUGCAACACGACGCAGCUCAAGACGGUCCAUCACAUAGCUACCAGCAGGUCUUACAUAAACCUAAAGGGGGAAAACAUCGAAAAUCCUUACCUAUAAGCUUACCGACACAUAACAGCCCUAAUUUAUAAAUUAAGCCAAAAAAAAGUUUGAAGGAAAACUCAAACCGAGAGUAGGGCAUCAGGGUCAACAAUCCGGCGAAACAAAUCCAACUGUUCGAUGCAAAGCCUCUGAAAGUCAGGACUCGGCAACACCAACCCAGUAUUCUGACUGUUCUCGAUCCUAUGCACAAAUUCCACAGGGGAGGUGGAAGCUUUGAGAAUGGCGGAGGCGACAGCAGAGGCUGAGGGUACCAUUGACCCAUCGUCGUGAGUGUCGCGAACAGUAUGAGAAACGUGGCGAAGGAGGGUAGGGUCUGGAAUGGAGGAUGUAUCAGUGAGGGAGGAGGAAGUGCAAUUGAAGGUUAAUGGUUUGAGGCGAAUGAAAGAAUGGAGUUUUAGGGCAUUGUAGGAGAAGAAAGGGAAGAAGGGGGAGGAAGAAUUGGAGCAAUGGAGAGGGUUUUGGAGAGAAGGUGAAGAAGAGAGUAGCAUCGGGAUUUGCGGAGGAUUAAGAGACGGAAGUUGGUCGGAGUGGAUGAUGAUGACCAACGGAUUUUGCCGGGUAGAUCAGAUGGAGCUCAACGUGGAUAGCUAAUAAAUCCAUUUCUUUUUUCUCUUUUAUUCAUUUUUAAAGUUCAAUACUUCAAACUACAAAAGGAGGAUCAAGAAAUUCAAAAUUGAACUUAAAAAGGAUAAGGGAAAAGAAUUGCUUCUUUACUACUAUUCUCUUCGUCCACCACAUUUCUUUUUAUGUGUAUAUUCAUACAAUAUGGAUGUUUUCAUUUUGAUUUGACCUAUAUCUGAUAAAAUAUUAAUAUCGACGUAUA